UGGUCAAGUUAUUAAGGGUGCAGGGCGGAUGCCUUGGCACUAGGAGCCGAUGAAGGACGUGAUAAGCUGCGAUAAGCUUCGGGGAGUUGCACGUAAACUUUGAUCCGAAGAUUUCCGAAUGAGGAAACUCACUUAGAGUAAUGUCUAAGUAUCAUUAAGUGAAUACAUAGCUUAAUGAGGGGAACUCAGGGAACUGAAACAUCUAAGUACCUGAAGGAAGAGAAAGAAAUUCGAUUCCGUAAGUAGCGGCGAGCGAACGCGGAUUAGCCCAAACCAAUAAAGUUUUCUUUAUUGGGGUUGAGGACAUACCACAUAUAAGAGG
rnacentral:rRNA from 1 species